rfam:Otolemur garnettii contig012756, whole genome shotgun sequence.
UAGUCUUAUAGCUCUUUUAUAAUUUGUCUAGCCGGUUUUCCCAUUUGCACUCAAAGAACGCUCCC